GUGGGGUAAUGGCUCACCAAGGCGACGACGGGUAGCCGGCCUGAGAGGGUGACCGGCCACACUGGGACUGAGACACGGCCCAGACUCCUACGGGAGGCAGCAGUGGGGAAUAUUGCACAAUGGGCGGAAGCCUGAUGCAGCGACGCCGCGUGAGGGAUGACGGCCUUCGGGUUGUAAACCUCUUUCAGUAGGGAAGAAGCGAGAGUGACGGUACCUGCAGAAGAAGCGCCGGCUAACUACGUGCCAGCAGCCGCGGUAAUACGUAGGGCGCAAGCGUUGUCCGGAAUUAUUGGGCGUAAAGAGCUCGUAGGCGGUGUGUCGCGUCGGCCGUGAAAACCUGCAGCUUAACUGUGGGCGUGCGGUCGAUACGGGCAUCACUGGAGUUCGGCAGGGGAGACUGGAAUUCCUGGUGUAGCGGUGAAAUGCGCAGAUAUCAGGAGGAACACCGGUGGCGAAGGCGGGUCUCUGGGCCGAUACUGACGCUGAGGAGCGAAAGCGUGGGGAGCGAACAGGAUUAGAUACCCUGGUAGUCCACGCCGUAAACGUUGGGCGCUAGGUGUGGGGACCAUUCCACGGUUUCUGUGCCGCAGCUAAUGCAUUAAGCG
rnacentral:rRNA from 1 species